AUUUAUAAAUAAUAAAUCUUAAACUGUUGAUAAACCAAACUCUGAAGUAUUUUUAAAGAGGUUUAUUCUAAGCCAAUGAGUGACCAUAGCCCAAGGAGCAGUCUCAAGAGGUCCUGAGAAAGUGUGCACUGGGUGUUGGAGUUACAUUUUAGUUAUUGCCACAAAUAACAUGUUUCAUCAGUCUUAUGACCUCUAUUUCAAUGUUAAUGUUGGUUAGUUAUGCCUAAAAUGACUGCGCAUAUCCAACCUCCCUUUCUGUCAUGGCUGGGAAUUCAGUUUUUCAGGUUUCUCCAUCAAAAUCAAGGUCCUAUGACAUUGUGUAUUGGAAUUUUUCAGGCCACGUUUGUAGAAACGCACUGCUUUGUUCUAGCAGAAAGAGUUUACCCAGUCAGUUCUGAAGAUUUGUGUGUUACAGACACAAUGAAUGGAAUGGGAAGCAGCAAAUGCUGAUGUAGAAGCUGCAGCAAGUUAUCCAGAAGAUCUGGCUAAGAUCAUUGAAGACUGUAG
rnacentral:lncRNA from 1 species